GUAGUAGUAGUAGUAGUAGUAGUAGUAGUAGUAGUAGUAGAAAUAGAAAAAUAAGUAGGAGAAAAAUAGUAGUAGUAGUAGUAGUAGUAGUAGUAGUAGAAAUAGAAAAAUAAGUAGGAGAAAAAUAGUAGUAGUAGUAGUAGUAGUAGUUUUGAUAGCAGUGUUCUUAGUAAAAAUGAUCUUUAUAUACCAGUCAUAAUUGAUUCUGACCGUAGAUAUAUAUUUCAUGUGUAGAAAAAAACUAACAACCUUCUCAAAAAAAAUAAAAAAAUAAGUGGACACAAAAUACUAAAAAUACAAAGUGCCAAAACAAAACAAAAAAACAACAAAAACAAACACAAAACACUACGACCAAAUAUCAGUUAAAUAUAUGCCCAGGUGAGCCCAAUCAGGUGACUCAGGUGAGGGGCAGAACAAAAUGCAUCAGGUCUGGUUACAUCAAAGCACAAACAAGGGAAAUGACUACGUGUUAUGCGUCUCGGCGGCUCUGAGGGAGGGAGCCGCGCGGAGAGUCAGACGAACUGUGAGACGCCCCGGGAAAGCUCAGAGGGGCCAUGGGAAAGGAGGUGAGGCGCUGGGGUGAAGGGGAGGAAGGGGAGAGAGUGUCACCCUUCCCCUAAGUCCCCAAAGCACCCAGCACCCACCGCCCCCAUGUUUCGAUGCAAAUGGUGGGAGCCUUUUCCUGGAUAUCGAGCUAACACGUGCCAAUAUAUUCGUCUUUUUUCUUCCGUCCUCAGUUGCGGGCGUUGUGUGUCCCCUCGCCGCGCCGCCCUCACUCUCUACUCCUCUCCCCAUUCUUCUCUUCCCUCCCUUUCUCUACUUAAAUCGUAUCUCCAUUCCCAUCUUUCCUAUCCCACUCUCUAUCUCCUACAUCCUAUCUACAUGUGUCCAGACUCCUCGUGCAGUGACCUGGUUUUAGUUUAUUUCCCUCACGAUCCAUUUGCUGGGGCCGACCCGCACUUUGAACACAGGAACACAAGGGCAAGAGCAGUCUGCAAGAGGCCGGUAACCCCGUCUCCCUCAGCUUCUUACACAUAGCUAUAUAUAACUCUUGCCUCCUGUGCCGGGUCAACUCAUACCAAGAACAUAAGAGCAAAAGGAGUCUGAAGGAGGCCAGUAACCCCGUCUCCCACAGCUUCUUACACAUAACCAUAUACAUAACUCUUGCCUCCUCUGCUGGUCCAACUCAUACCAAGAACAUAAGAACAAAAUGAGUCUGCAUGAGGCCAGUAACCCCGACUCCCACACUUCCUCAUACGGUGCAAAACAAGAACAUAACAGUCACCUACGAAGCCGGCGUUGGGGCACGGAGGAAUAUAUUGGCACGCCGCAACUCGAUCGCCAGGAAAAAAUCGUCCCGGUCUCUCUACGAUGCAUGCAGCGGUUCAGAACAUUCCAGUCUCAAUCAUCAGGGCGGAAAACGGAUCACCUGGCAAUGCUGCGUGAUCGUUUCGUCCUCUACAGGUACAGCAGAGUUUAGUCAAGAGGAGAGUGUAGUGUGUUCAAGGCCAAUUAGAGUGAAGGGGCUAAUUUGAAGUUCCUGCGCCCGCUCGCCCGCACUGACAUGCCGGGAGAGAGAGAGAGAAAUAUAGGGGAGGAACGGAAAGAGGUAUAAAGUGCGGUAGAAAUGAGGUAGAGAGGGAGGGAGACUGGAUUUAGGUAGGGGAAGGGAAGGGAAAGGGAGGUAGAAGUGAGGUAGAAAUGACGUAGAGAGGGAGGGAGACUGGAUUUAGGUAGGGGAAGGGAAGGGAAAGGGAGGUAGAAGUGAGGUAGAAAUGACGUAGAGAGGGAGGGAGACUGGAUUUAGGUAGAGGAAGGGAAGGGGAAGAGAGGUAGAAGUGGAGUAGAAAUGAGGUAGAGAGGGAGGGAGACUGGAUUUAGGUAGGGGAAGGGAAGGGAAAGGGAGGUAAAAGUGGGAUGGGAAAGACAGGAGGGAGGAAUGGAGAUACGAUAAAGGUGGAGGAAGGGAGGGGAAGGGAAGAAGGGGAAGGGAUGGGAAGAGAGGAAGUAGAGAGUGGGAAAGGAAAGAUGGGAAUGGAGAUACGAUUUAGAUGGAAGAAAGGGAAGGAAAGGGAAGGGAAGAAGGGGGAGAGGAGUAGAGAGUGAGGGCGGCGCGGCGAGGGGACACACCGACAGCAGGCGCUCAGAGCCAAUCAAGGAUGCGCAGGUAGGGUAUGUUCUCCAAUUCGUACGCGCCUCUCCCAAAUAGUACUUAGUAAAAAAUAAAAAAAAUAAUAAAAAAAAAGGAAAACUCAAUCAACACAGGUAUGAAAACGAACGGAUCAGAACUUAUAAUUCGUUUUUUUUAUUCUUUUUUUUUCGACCGUUUCAGUUUCACACCUCAGCAGCUCGUGUUUCCAGUUUUCUUUCUUUUCCUUUUCAUAAUCCGAGAAAGGAAGAAAAAACAACAACAUCGGCAAAAGUUGAACUGACAUCGUAAUAUAGAAAAAUAAUCGCUAAAUGUCAGAGCAAAGAGUAGUAGUAGUAGUAGUAGUAGUAGUAGUAGUAGUAGUAGUAGAAGAUAAAGAAAAAUCAGAAUAAGUAGGAGGAAAUAGUAGUAGUAGUAGUAGUAGUAGUAGUAGUAGUAGUAGUAGUAGUAGUAGUAGUAGUAGCAGUAGUAUGCGUCAGCUCAACAAUUUACCAGAGCAGUUUUUUCCCCCCUCCCCAACUUCACGCGCGUACUAAAUGGAUCACGGCGCGUACGAAUGCAUAAACAAACCCACCCCGGCGCAGGUAGUAGUAGGUUAGUUCAAGGUCACACGGGGCCGAUGCAAUCAAUACGUUACCUUCACUUUACCUCACGAUUUUGAGCGAGUCGGAGUGUGUGAGUGUGGGUGAUUCUGUCUCUCUUUCUCUGUCUGUCUUACUUUCUCUCUCUCUUUCUUCUUUGUGCUUUGAGUGAGUCAGUAACAGGUAAGGCAAAGGUUGUAUGCCAUUCGUUCGUUCACUCUCACUCUCACACUCUCACUCUCUCUCUCUCUCUCUCUCUCUCUCUCUCUCUCUCUCUCUCUGGUGGUGGUUAUGGAGGAAAAACAAAACAAUAAAUAUAAAAACAAAGAUAUUCUCCACCUCAAAAAUAACGCAAAAAAAUAAGAGGAACAAAAAAAAUGAUGAAGGUGGAGGAGGAUGAAGUGGAUGAAUAUAACUCAACUCUCCACCUCCUCCUCCACCUCCAAGAACGCUGAGUAAAAAGGGGACUCAAAAGUGGAGGAGGAGGAGGAGGUGGAGGUGGAGAGGAAGAGGUGGACGAGUGACUACUUAAGUAAAAUCCAUCACAGCCCAAAAGAGGGACGGAAAAGUGGAGGAGGUGGAGGAAAUUGAGUGACAAAAUUCCACCAUGAUCAAAAAGGGGAGCAAUGAAGUGGAUAAACAAGUGGAGGAAAGAAAGGGCAAAGGACGUGAAGAGUGGAAGGGAAAGAAAAUUCACCAAAACAAAGGCAACAAAGAAGUGGAAAAACAGGUGGAAGAAAAACGGGAAGGCGAUGAGGAGGGAGAGAAAGAAGCAACCAAAUCCACCACAAACAAGAAAAAAAAAAAAAAGGCAAAAGAGGAAGAGGAACAAGUAACUAUGUCCACCACAAGGAAGAAAAAAAAAAACUAAAAAAGUGGAACACAGGAGGAGGAGGAGGAGGUGGAGAGGGAGAGAUACAAGAAGCUAAAUCCACCACAAAUAAGAAAAUAAGCAAAAAGAGCGAAAGAAAGGCGAGGUGGAGGUGGAGGAGGUGGAGGAGGAGGAGGAGGAGGAGGAGGGGGAGAGAUGAACGAACGAAAACGCCAUCGCGACCACUCUUGCCUGGACUUAACAUCGCU